UUUCCAUCAAUAGUCUCUCA
rnacentral:snRNA from 1 species